GAAUCUUGGGCAAUGGGCGCAAGCCUGACCCAGCCAUGCCGCGUGUGUGAAGAAGGCCUUCGGGUUGUAAAGCACUUUCAGUGGUGAAGAAAAGCCAGGGGCUAAUACCUCCGGGUGCUGACGUUAACCACAGAAGAAGCACCGGCUAACUCCGUGCCCGCCGCCGCGGUAAUACGGAGGGUGCAAACGUUAAUCGGAAUUACUGGGCGUAAAGCGCGCGUAGGCGGUUCGAUAAGUGGGAUGUGAAAGCCCCGGGCUCAACCUGGGAACUGCAUUCCAAACUGUCGGGCUCGAGUAUGGUAGAGGGAGGUAGAAUUUCCUGUGUAGCGGUGAAAUGCGUAGAUAUAGGAAGGAAUACCAGUGGCGAAGGCGGCCUCCUGGACCAAUACUGAUGCUGAGGUGCGAAAGCGUGGGGAGCAAACAGG
rnacentral:rRNA from 1 species